UACGGUUACAUCACGUUGAAACACUGGUUCUCGGACGAUCAGCGAGGUUAAGCAACGUCGAGCCUGUUCAGUACUUAGAUGGGUGACCGCUUGGGAGUGCAAAGUGCUGCAAG